GUCAGGUGUGAAAUCUCGGGGCUUAACUCCGAAACUGCGCCUGAAACUAUCUGUCUUGAGACUCGGAGAGGAGAGUGGAAUUCCAGGUGUAGCGGUGAAAUGCGUAGAUAUCUGGAAGAACACCAAUGGCGAAGGCAGCUCUCUGGACGAGAUCUGACGCUGAGGCACGAAAGCGUGGGGAGCGAAAGGGAUUAGAUACCCCUGUAGUCCACGCCGUAAACUUUGCACACUAGGUCUUGGGGGAUUCGACCCCUUCAGGGCCCAAGCUAACGUGAUAAGUGUGCCGCCUGCGGACUACGGCCGCAAGGCUAAAACGUAAAGGAAUUGACGGGCCCCCGCACAAGCGGUGGAGCAUGUGGCUUAAUUCGAUGCAACGCGAAGAACCUUACCCAGGUUUGACAUGCAGGGGACCGGGUGUGAAAGCACCCUUCUCUUCGGAGCCGCUGCACAGGUACUGCAUGGCUGUCGUCAGCUCGUGUCGUGAGAUGUUCGGUUAAGUCCGUCAACGAGCGCAACCCUUAUCCUUAGUUGCCAGCGGGUUAUGCCGGGGACUCUAAGGAGACAAACCCCUUGUCGGGGUGGGAAGGUGGGGAUGACGUCAAGUCAGUAUGGUCCUUACGCCUGGGGCUGCACACGUGCUACAAUGCCCGGUACAGUGGGAAGCAAGACCGUGAGGUGGAGCAAAUCCUUAAAACCGGGCCCAGUUCGGAUUGGAGUCUGCAACUCGACUCCAUGAAGUCGGAAUCGCUA
rnacentral:rRNA from 1 species